rnacentral:rRNA from 1 species
AUUGAACGCUGGCGGCAUGCUUUACACAUGCAAGUCGAACGGUAACAGGCCUUCGGGUGCUGACGAGUGGCGAACGGGUGAGUAAUGCAUCGGAACGUGCCCAAUCGUGGGGGAUAACGUAGCGAAAGUUACGCUAAUACCGCAUAAGCCCUGAGGGGGAAAGCAGGGGAUCGCAAGACCUUGCGCGAAUGGAGCGGCCGAUGUCAGAUUAGCUAGUUGGUGGGGUAAAGGCCUACCAAGGCGACGAUCUGUAGCGGGUCUGAGAGGAUGAUCCGCCACACUGGGACUGAGACACGGCCCAGACUCCUACGGGAGGCAGCAGUGGGGAAUUUUGGACAAUGGGCGCAAGCCUGAUCCAGCCAUGCCGCGCGCGGGACGAAGGCCU